ACUCUCACCGGCCGAGAGGAAUCCCUCUCGGUCAAUGAGAGUGUACACUCUCAUCAACCGAGAGGGAUUCCUCUCGGCCGGUGAGAGU
rnacentral:miRNA from 1 species